GGAUGGAGUGAGCUGCUGUGGACCAAAUCCUACUCCAAGUCCCAUGGUUCAGCCUCCAGCAGCUCUGUCUCCUGGCACUUGCCAGGUGCAGGUUGAGUACAGGUCCAUCAGCAAGAGGGGCAUUUGAUGUCAAGCCUCCUGCAUAGCUACCUGAUGAGGGAGCCGGCGUCCUAUUCAAUUCCCUUCUCCACUACCAGGCUGAGAGACGCGUGCUUCUCCAGGGGUUCCCCAGGGACUAAGGACAGGCAUGAUGAGGAGCCUCGCUCCCUCGCUCCCUCGCUCGGGGUCCAGCCCUCCUGCUCUGCACCCUUCCCAAGCCUGCAACCCGGCCGCCACCAGAGGGCGCUGCAGCCCAGCCCGGGCCUCCGCCCCCCCCCCGCCCCCCACUCCCUGUACCCGUCAAUCUUCCGCCUGGGAUGGGUGUGCAGGCCUGAGCUCCAGGGACUGGGGUUCAGGCCUCCCCUACCCACAGGUACUGGUAAGUGACUUCUCUUCCACGUGUGACCUGUUGGGAGCAGGAUUUCUCGGUGUUAGCAGAAGACUGAUCAAUAUGCAGAUUCGCCAUCCUGGCCCAACUGGCUGUCCUGUCUGAUGCUCGCUGGACCUUGCCUUCUCAGAGAGCACCAUGUAAUUAUACAGGGACAACUUGGGAAUCGGUUCCAGCGUACAGCCAGGGCUGAGAGCGCUGGUUAGAACUUGGGAUGCGUGCCCUUUUUUGUCACUAUGUUGCAUGGAGAAUUUGAGAGCCACUGCCUUACAGACACUUGGAGCUGGGCAGUCCAUCAGCCCGUCCAUCAUUCAUUGGUUUUAUCUUUCAUUCUGUGGCCUUUCCCUGUGCUCCCAGGGAAACCUUGGGUGCCCUCAGAAGCUGGUACAUGGAGACACAGUGUGGACUCACACUGAAACAGUGUUUUCCUAGCUCGUUCAUUUUUCUGGUCUCUUGGCCUUGCAUGGCUUUCCAGGCCAGGAAAGUAUCUAACAGGCAGCCCAGCUGCUGAGCUCCCUGCUUGCUUCCAGUUUCGCCAUUAGUCCAAGCCGAGGCAGGCACCCUGGCAGUCCUCCUGGGGCCUGUGUGUGAGGUUCUUGGUCUCUCUUCCCGAAGAUGGCUGCUGGGGUGUGGGCAGGUGCAUGCUACUUGCCCUCCUAUGGUCCAGCGGAGGGACUGGAACAUAGCAGGAGCGUGUUCCAUCCUGUUGAGAAGAGCAGUCACAGUAGCUGCUGUUUGCUAAGCGCCUAGUGUGUGCCAGGCCUGUGCUACAGACUUGCAAGUGUCAUCAGUCAUCGUAGUCCCCAGCAGGAGCCUGUUCCUCCGUUUUACAGAAGAGGAAGUCAGGGCUCAGGAAGGUUGUCGCUCACUGGAAUCACUAGGGACAUCCAGAUUUGAACUCACCACCCUCCAACAGAGUAGGCUGAUGAGCACUUCCCCCAUUCCAUGCAGAUGGAAACUGGGCUCUGCGUACAAGGCUGUCUUGGAGCUGCAGUUUGGUGGGAGGCAGCAAACACAAACACCAAUCGCAUUUUGUUCUAAAUCCAUCUUGGAGGGCCCGUAGGGGUUGAGCCAUGUGCAUGCCGUGGCAGAGGCAGGGGCUGAGGGGCCCAGGCACCUCUUCUGGGCUCAUGGACUCCCAGUGUUCCCAGCACAGCCCGUGUUGCGCUGCCUCUCCUGCCUGUGAGCCCAGAGGGAUGAGCACCACCUGUGAUGUGCUCAAGGCUGGCCCGACACACGCAGGAGUCAGUGUUUCCUGAAAAGACAGGGCUUCCAUCCCUGCAGCCCCCUCCCCAGUCACCCCAGCCACACACCGUACCACUCUCUCCAGCUGUGGAAAUUUGUACCUCAGCCCAGAACGAACUCACUGGCAGUUAGCUGCUUGGCUGCCAGGACAGCCAAUUGGGUGCUAGCAGUGCCUGGGCCACCUCCAGGAACAAAGG